ensembl:snoRNA SNORD113-2 small nucleolar RNA, C/D box 113-2
AUAGCCAAUCAUUAGUAUUCUGAGCUGUAGGAAUCAAAGAUUUUGAUUAGAUUCUGUAACUCAGAGGUUUCU